AGUCAUAUGCUUGUCUCAAAGACUAAGCCAUGCAUGUCUAAGUAUAAGUGUUAUACAGCGAAACUGCGAAUGGCUCAUUAAAACAGUUAUAGUUUAUUUGACAAUCGAAUCUACAUGGAUAACCGUGGUAAUUCUAGAGCUAAUACAUGCUGGUGUGCCUGACUUUUGUGGAAGGGCGGUAUUUAUUAGAUAACAAGCCAAUAUUCCUCUGGUCUAUUGUGGUGAAUCAUAAUAACUGAUCGAAUCGCAAGGCUUAUGGCCGCGAUAAGUCAUUCAAGUUUCUGCCCCAUCAGCUUUCGAUGGUAGUGUAUUGGACUACCAUGGCGUUUACGGGUAACGGAGGAUUAGGGUUCGAUUCCGGAGAGGGAGCCUGAGAAACGGCUACCACAUCUAAGGAUGGCAGCAGGCGCGUAAAUUACCCAAUCCUGAUUCAGGGAGGUAGUGACAAGAAAUAACGGACCGGGGUCUUCGGACUUCGGGACCGCAAUGAGCCGAAUUUACACCCCUUAGCGAGAACCGAU
rnacentral:rRNA from 1 species